CAAAUCCAAAUUAUGCUCCACCAGAAAUUUAUAAGAGAGUUUGAGAACCGUCCACCUUUAUUGCAAGAAAGCCAACUCUUUAGAUGUUAUAUUCUUCUUAUUUUGUUUUGUUUUAUGGUUGAUAGAUUAUGGUUAGUAGAUUUUGUUAGUUCUUUUAUGGUGAAAAUGCAUGUUUUCAUAGGUGUAACUAUCCACAUAAACAUCAACAGUUGUUAACACUUUGCUUUUGUUUCAACAUGCACUUUUGUACCAACAUUUGUAAAAUACAUUUUGAUUUCAUCCAAAUUGUCCAUAUAUCAGUUGUACAUUACAUCAAAAUUUCUACACACUAUAUUUCAUAUUUUCAUAAUAUUAAGCAAACACAAGAUCUCAAUUUAACAUAGCAUUUACUUCAAAUGAUUUAAACAUAUAUCAAACCAUAAUAGCAUACUAAAUUAGGGCAAUUGCAACUUCAUGUUGCCAUUCUCAUUCAUAUCAUCCUUACAACAAACAAAAAGAAUUGCCAUUACAAUGAACACAAACUACUAAAGUUUUAAAACUAAACUUAUAACUCUUUCAUUCCUUGUAUUUUUCUUUGUAUCUCUCUUUGUAUUUCUGGACCUCCAACUUCAAAUCUCGCAAUUCUUACUUGUAGGCACUUAAUUUAUCCUCGCAACAUCUUAAUCCCUCUUUACACUUUAACUCCACAGCCAUCUCAACUUAUUCUAUUCUCGCUAAAGUUAGUUCAUCCUUACAGACAUCCAACUUCUUAAUCAAUUGGGAUAAGGCUUUCAUACAAAUUUGGCAGUUUGGUGGGUUAAUCCAUUCAAAGAACUGGCAGUGUCUACCCUCACUAAUUUCGUACUUCCCACACCCUAGAAAUCUUCUUCCAUAAUUUUUAGUCUUGAAUGUCGUUCCCAACGCAACACGAACUCCACACUCGAAAUUCCUAUACCCGCUGCCGUUGCUGCUUUGAGAGGAAUUCAUCUUUCUUGAAUGAUGUUCUUUGCGCUCUAUCUCCUUCAAUCACGAUGGGUGCUGAUUGGGCAUAAAAAAUUCUAUUACUAAGUUGCCGUUGCCACAUCAGGGAUCCUAACACCGUUAUGGAGAAAAACCUUUAUUUGGUAGUGUUAAACAUAAGGUAUCUCUUUGUACCAAAAUAAAUCACAGUCCUUUAAGUGAAAAUCGUGUAAACCACAAGGUAGUUUAGUAUACUUUUCCCUUUUUUUAUUUAAAAUCAUUUCCAAGAUUUUAGCGAAUAGAUUGGCUACUGUUCUUGCUGUGAUUAUAGCCCAAUUUGGAUUUCUUCAAGGUCAGCAUAUUGAACAUUGCAUCGCUAUUGCCUUUGAGAAUGUUAAUGUCCUUAAUUCUAGAUGUUAUGGAGGUAACAUGGCAGUCAAAAUAGCUAUCAGGAAGGCCCUUGAUUCCAUGGAUUGAGACUUUAUUGAUGUAGUUCUUCAUAGUUUUGGCUUUUCUAGCAAAUUUUGUGGGUGGAUUCAAUCAAUUCUUCAAUCUUCUAGGAUUUCCAUUCUCAUUAGUAGAGAUCCUAAAGGUUAUUUUCAUGUUCUCGGGGGGUUUGUCAAUAAGACCCUCUAUCUUUCUUGAUCUUUUGCAUUGCUUAAGAUUAUCUCAAUCGAAAGAUUCUUGCCUUAUGUGAGUUUGCGUUAAUUUCUCCUAUAGAUGCCUCUCACAGAAUUCCUUGUCCUUCUCAUCAUUUAUAUGCAGAUGACAUUAUGAUAUUUUGUCAAGCCUCAAAGAAAAAUAUAUGGGUUAUCUCUUCUCUUUUUCUGAUUAUGGUGCUCUCUCUAGCCAAGUUGUCAACUGGAAAAUAUCGGAGAUCAUCUUUGGCAGGCAUAUUUCAUGUUCUAGAGUUAAGAUGCUUUGCUCUCUCUCUGGUAUAAAGAUUGGCUCUUUGCCAUUUUGCUACCUGGGUGUUCCUCUUUUCCAUGGCUUUCUAAGUUUGAUAAUUGGAAAGGUAAUUCUCUUUCCAUGGUGGGUCGUUUGGCUCUAGUGAAUUAUGUUAUUUAUGAAUCAUUCCUCUACUCAUUUAUUAUUUAUAUAUGGUAUGCCUCUCUGCUGAAACGAAUGGAAAACACUAUCAUAAACUUUAUUUGGACAUGCUCUACUCAUUCCAAAAAGCUUAUUUCUGUUCAGUGCGACUUGUGUUGUGCACCCAAAGAUGAAGGCGGUCUUGGCUUGCGAACACUUCAUUCUCUGAAUUCAUCAUUACUAAGUAUACUUGCUUAGAAUGUUUAUUGCAAUGAUUCCUUUUUUAUUUUUAUUUUUGAGAGGCAGAUUUUAUAAUACUGCUGGUGCCCCUCGUCCUUCUCAUAUCUAUUCAUCAGUUCGGUGCUCCAUCAAAGCUCGUGAGGCUUUUAUUCGACUGCAUUCUCAAUAGAGCAUUGGCUCUUCUUCCCUAUUGAAUUUCUGGAAUGAAAAUUGGCUUGGUUAUUCAAUUUCAGAUAAAGUGGGAUUUCCUGUCCCUGUUAGGAAGAAGCUUUAUGUAAAAAUUUUACAUAUAUAUGUGAAUGGGGAAUGGAGUUUGCCUAUGUGAUUUCGCAAUACAUUUCUUGAAAUUAGUGAGGAUAUUCUCAACA